UACGUAGGGGGCAAGCGUUGUCCGGAUUUAUUGGGCGUAAAGAGCGUGUAGGCGGCUUUACAGGUCCGUUGUGAAAACUCGAGGCUCAACCUCGAGACGCCGGUGGAAACCGUAAAGCUAGAGUCCGGAAGAGGAGAGUGGAAUUCCUGGUGUAGCGGUGAAAUGCGCAGAUAUCAGGAGGAACACCCGGUGGCGAAAGCGGCUCUCUGGGGACGGUACUGACGCUGAGACGCGAAAGCGUGGGGAGCAAACAGG
rnacentral:rRNA from 1 species